GACAUUAACGUAUAUUAUGUGUUGACAACGUCAUAUAAUAAUGCAUACCAUUGCAAAUAUCACGUUCAGAAGAAUCCAUCUUAGUUUGUUAUUUUUAAUAUUAUAGAGUGAAGUUUUACUUAUCAUCAAAUUCUAAGUAGACAAUAGUCGCACGUGGCAGCAGAAUGUAUAAAUUAUUGAUAUGCAUGUAUGUGUGCAGACUUUAAAUGUAUACGCAGCAUCAACAAGUUUAGUAAUAUAGUUCAAGUUCAACCGUUGAGGACGUUUGUAUGCGAAUUUUAAAUUUGGUAUCUCGGAUUUCCGGUUAUGUUUAGUCUUCAGUUUUCAAUUUCCUGUAAUCUAUGGCUGACGAAAGGUAAGCGCUUUUCGUAUAUUAUGUUAUUAUUAGAAUAUCUAUUGGUUAUUACUUAUUAAGUAUAUUAGCUUUUAUUAUAAAUUUAUAAAUUAUUUUAAAAUACGAUGUUUCAUAAUUUCAUAUAAAGAAAGACUUUUCCCUCACUACAUAAUUUUAUUUAAAUCUAUUUUUCCUUCGAGGUUAUUUAAACUUUACUCGUCAUGAAUGUAUUGCAAACAUUGAGAUUUUCAAUUAUUUUAAUGUACCUAUCGAUUAUCGGCUAUCGCACAUAUACCAAUUGACUGCACAGA